UGAGGAACAUGACCUUCGGCGGGGGAUAGCCGGCCCAACGGCCGGGUAAUACCGCGUACGACCACAUGGGGACAUCCCUGAGUGGUGAAAGCAGCAAUGCGCCGAUGGAGUGCCUCGCGGCCUAUCAGCUAGUUGGUGAGGUAACGGCUCACCAAGGCGACGACGGGUAGCUGGUCUGAGAGGACGACCAGCCACACUGGAACUGAGAUACGGUCCAGACUCCGUAGGAGG
rnacentral:rRNA from 1 species